CGUCCUCGACCUGCUGGGGACAGAUGAAAUGGAUGUGCGAGUCGAUCCCGCCUGGCGUGAGGAUCUGGCCCUCGCCGGCGAUGGCCUCGGUGCCCGGACCGAUGACGAUGUCGACCCCGGCCUGGGUGUCCGGAUUGCCGGCCUUGCCGAUCCCGGUGAUGCGUCCGUUCUUGAUGCCGAUGUCGGCCUUGACCACGCCCCAAUGGUCCAGAAUCAGGGCGUUGGUGAUGACGACGUCGACCACCUCGUCCGCGAUCCGCUGGGACUGUCCCAUGCCGUCGCGGAUG
rnacentral:sRNA from 1 species